ACUGCAGGCAGACAUGAAUGAAGAAAGUGCAUCUGAACAGGUUUGGGGAAAACGAGGCCUCUGAACCGGAGCAGGAGGUCUACAAAAGCAGACAAGGCCUCCUUCAAAUGCACGGCCUGUCAGCUCCUCACGACUCUGCUUGAAGCUGUAGUGCU
rnacentral:lncRNA from 1 species